GAUGAACGCUGGCGGCGUGCCUAAUACAUGCAAGUCGAGCGAACGGACGAGGAGCUUGCUUCUCUGAUGUUAGCGGCGGACGGGUGAGUAACACGUGGAUAACCUACCUAUAAGACUGGGAUAACUUCGGGAAACCGGAGCUAAUACCGGAUAAUAUAUUGAACCGCAUGGUUCAAUAGUGAAAGACGGUCUUGCUGUCACUUAUAGAUGGAUCCGCGCUGCAUUAGCUAGUUGGUAAGGUAACGGCUUACCAAGGCAACGAUGCAUAGCCGACCUGAGAGGGUGAUCGGCCACACUGGAACUGAGACACGGUCCAGACUCCUACGGGAGGCAGCAGUAGGGAAUCUUCCGCAAUGGGCGAAAGCCUGACGGAGCAACGCCGCGUGAGUGAUGAAGGUCUUCGGAUCGUAAAACUCUGUUAUUAGGGAAGAACAUAUGUGUAAGUAACUGUGCACAUCUUGACGGUACCUAAUCAGAAAGCCACGGCUAACUACGUG
rnacentral:rRNA from 1 species